UACGGGGGGGGCAAGCGUUGUUCGGAAUUACUGGGCGUAAAGGGCUCGUAGGCGGCCAACUAAGUCAUACGUGAAAUCCCUCGGCUUAACCGGGGAACUGCGUCUGAUACUGGAUGGCUUGAGUUCGGGAGAGGGAUGCGGAAUUCCAGGUGUAGCGGUGAAAUGCGUAGAUAUCUGGAGGAGCACCGGUGGCGAAGGCGGCAUCCUGGACCAAUACUGACGCUGAGGAGCGAAAGCCAGGGGAGCAAACCGG
rnacentral:rRNA from 1 species